CCGGAAGUAAAGUGCGAGGCGAGGUGGGGGUUAGGUGUCUUGCUCAGGGACACUUCGACACAGCCCGGGAUGGGGAUCGAACCGGCAACCCUCCGACUGCCAGACGACUGCUCUUACUGCCUGAGCCAUGUUGCUGCUGUGACGUUUACGUGUACGGGCCAUUAUGUAUUUGAUCAACAAACCAGAUGCAUCCAGCAAUUUUGGGACUUGUGGCACGCUGAAGUGGGAGGAGAGCCACUGCUCAGGGUGUGUCAAGGGAUAUGGGAGUGAAGUGGACAAAACCUUCAACAUGAAUUAUGACAGGAGGUACCCAUCAGGGUGUUUGAACUGAAAGGAGCAGAAUGUAUUAGACCUCUCACAGCCAUGCCACAGCAGGUUGCUUGUGCUUCACAUCAAUCACUGAAGAACUGAUUAAUAUGGGUGUGGUAAGCAGCUAACAGGUGGCUUAAUCCAUAAAUGCUGGAAGCAAUCAGAGCUGAGAGGAUUGAACGAUGUAAUGAGGAUCUUGUAUGAUGAGAAUACCUAUCGAAAUUUGAAAACCAGAUGAUGCCAUAAAUUUAGCCCCUUGUCUGUCCUUUAACUGUGAUACAAAUACAAAGCUAUGCUUCUUUCCUUUUAUAAUAUUCAUAUGACAGCACAGAAGAUCAGCCUUUUGGACACAAUUAAUAUCAGGACAAUGACAUAAGGUGUCAUACAAGGCACAUUUGGAAUAGCUUCCAACACAUCCUGCUGUGGCCACAAGCAGAAAAAUAAAUCUGUGUCAUAAAUCUAUUUGCAGAAUAUAACAAUUAGAGCUACAUUUUCCAGCUGGUGUAGGGUGUGUGGCAAACAUUGGCAAAGUGGAAUUUUCGUCAUGGAUUUCGACAUGCCUGUUUCGUAAUUUGGGGACUUGCCGUGCACUGAAGUGGAAAAGAGGCGCCAUUUGGGGUGAGAGAGUAAUUGCUCAUUUCUGGACAUUCACAAGCAAUACGUGCAGGAUCACAACCUAUUCAGAAGGCAGUCAACUGUUUCUGUGGCUCAUGUGAUGUCCAAUUUUACUCUGAUAUAAACCCCACAUGCAGGAUAAUUGCAUUCUCUGCAUUUAUCUCCCUUCAACUUUUCUUUUUUGUAAUGUUAAUUCAGGCAUUUAUUUCUGUUUAUUAUUGUUGAUGGCUGUUGGUCUA